AGGCAAGGUCCUCCACCCAACUGUGUAGUUCCUGUGGAGGCAAGGCCGGCGAAAUCCUCGUGGCCGAGCAGUGUCACAUCAUGCUACUGCAGAAGGCCAUGGCAAGGCCUCCUACAUCCUCUGGCGGCUGUCUCUCCGCCCACUGAGCCAUGCCACACUGCUGCUCCAAGCAAAGGGAGGCAAGGCAACCAGAGUGCUGCAUAUUGCUUGGUGGUCAGCAGUUACACUGCCUCAACUAUAACCUCGCUGACGGAGAGUACGUCCUCGUGCCGGAGCA